CCUACGGGGUGCAGCAGUGAGGAAUAUUGGUCAAUGGCCGGAAGGCUGAACCAGCCAUGCCGCGUGAAGGUCAGUGCCCUAUGGGCGUUAAACUUCUUUUGUGCGGGAGCAAUAAUGGUCACGUGUGGCCAGACGAGAGUACCGUACGAAUAAGCAUCGGCUAACUCCGUGCCAGCAGCCGCGGUAAUACGGGGGAUGCAAGCGUUAUCCGGAUUUAUUGGGUUUAAAGGGUGCGUAGGCUGUGAGGUAAGUCAGCGGUGAAAUGCCGAGGCUCAACUUCGGAAUUGCCUCUGAUACUGUUCGGCUAGAGAGUAGUUGCGGUAGGCGGAAUGUAUGGUGUAGCGGUGAAAUGCUUAGAGAUCAUACAGAACACCGAUUGCGAAGGCAGCUUACGAAUCCGCGAUUGACGCUGAUGCACGAAAGCGUGGGUAUUAAACAGGAUUAGAUACCCUAGUAGUC
rnacentral:rRNA from 1 species